ACUCAUAGCUAUAAUUUUUAAGGCAGUUAUGAUGCAUAUUUUUUCCAAACCAAAACUGGCAAUGACCUUAAACGUUAUUUCACAAUCUUAAUUGAUGGUGCUUGAAAUACAUUAGGCCUUCAGACAUAAGAGUUAAUUUACUAUUUUAAUGCUUUAAUGCCGUCAUUCACUCUGAAACGCACGCAUACCAAGGAAAUAAUCGAUCCAUUGGAAAAUUACCGCUAACAAAAGAGCCUUUGUCAAUAUUAUGCAUCUAAAAGCACUCACGUCAAAGCCUCAGGCAAGCAAACAACAAAGUCAUCAGAGCAAAUAAGACGAACACUAUAGAGUCAUGGCUACAUCAUCAAAUACAAUUAGACCCGUUUUGAGCCAGUGUGAAGACUGCAAAAUGUGGGCAAUUUUUCCCCCUCUCUAAGGUGGAGGAAAGGCUAGUGGAAUGCUAGCCUUUCAAACGCCCUAUUUGCUUUUGUUUUGACGAAGAAGUCGACCGAUUUUUGGAAGAUUUUUUUCAGUAUGUAUUUUUAUAAUUCUUUAUCUUUUGAACAUUGA